UACGUAGGGCGCAAGCGUUGUCCGGAAUUAUUGGGCGUAAAGAGCUCGUAGGCGGUUUGUCGCGUCUGCUGUGAAAACUCGAGGCUCAACCUCGGGCUUGCAGUGGGUACGGGCAGACUAGAGUGCGGUAGGGGUGACUGGAAUUCCUGGUGUAGCGGUGGAAUGCGCAGAUAUCAGGAGGAACACCUAUGGCGAAGGCAGCUCGCUGGGACGGUACUGACGCUGAGGCGCGAAAGCGUGGGGAGCGAACAGG
rnacentral:rRNA from 1 species